rnacentral:rRNA from 1 species
UACGUAGGGGGCUAGCGUUGUCCGGAAUCAUUGGGCGUAAAGAGCGUGUAGGCGGCCCGAUAAGUCCGCUGUGAAAGUCCAGGCUCAACCCUGGGAUGCCGGUGGAUACUGUCGGGCUCGAGUCCGGAAGAGGAGUGUGGAAUUCCUGGUGUAGCGGUGAAAUGCGCAGAUAUCAGGAGGAACACCAAUGGCGAAGGCAGCUCGCUGGGACGGUACUGACGCUGGAGACGCGAAAGCGUGGGGAGCGAACGGG